ensembl:lncRNA
CCUCUCCAGAGACGCAGCUUGCAUAUCUCCUGCCCGACUGUCCACUUCACCACCGAAAAACAACAAGGAAACACAGGGUCCAUCCCUGGGCCUGGAAGAUCCCCUGGAGGAGGAAACGGCAGCCCACUCCAGCGUUCUUGUCUGGGAGAAUCCCGUGGACAGAGGAGCCUGGUGGGCCACAGUCAUGAGGUCACAGGUCGGACAUGAGUUAGCGACUCAACAGCAACAAUGCUCCCCUUUAAGGAAUGGAGGUGAAAGGGGGCCUUUGGGUUGAAGGUAAUAAGCCAAGGAGAGGAUGACUUCUGCAGUCCGACGAUGGCUCAUGCUAAGAACGGAGAGAUGUGAUUGCCUCAAUUUUUUGUGCUUAUGAAUAAAAAGCAGACACAAACACAUGGAGCGUUUAAUGAAAGGAAGGUGCCUGAACACAAAAAGGGCUUCCCUGGGGCUCAGUGGUAAAGAAAUGGCCUACCGGUGUAGGAGGCGCA